rnacentral:lncRNA from 1 species
CAUUGCUUUGACACUUGGCUGGGAGCGGGGACAGACUCUCAAGGCAGUCGUGAUGCAGCGGCGUGGACGAGCCGUGGGUCUGAAUGAAAGGAGAAGAAACUCGAGGAGGCUUGCCUGGCACGGUGACGGACCGAGUGGGGAGCGCUGCCUCAGGAGACCCCUUCCUGUGCCCGGUGGAGACGAGGAGCCCCCAGCGGAGAGCAGGUGUGAGUGGGAAGACGAGGCGUCAGACAGCAGGGGCAAGACCAGGUCCUGCACAGGUGUUUCAGACCGUGUGUCUUUACCCCUGUUCCCCAGUGCCCCCUCCGUCCCCCGAGGAGUAUGCACCAAACCAGAACAGGCUGCUUUUCACUGCAGUGUUUCCUGAGUGGCCGGAUGUGCCCCUGGGUGGGGAUGGGAACCGAGGCUCCUCCGCAGGGCUGCUGAUGCGGCAGUCUACCGGGUCGCACUGGACACGGCCCCUACAAUGGCCAGAGGUCACUGAGAGGAGGAUGUUCUGUCGUUGGAGACAGAAACAACAAGAGCUGUUGUUGAAAUCACACAUCGGGCUGGUGGCACCUGCCCGUAUUCCACGGACCGCUCCAGCGGCUGCCGGCGGGGAUGGCCCUCCUGGAGGCCAGACAGGAGGGAGCCCGGAAGAGCACGAUGGGAUGGGCUAG